GGUGGCUCAGUGCUAGAGUGUUUGCCUUGCAUGCAUAAGGCCCUGGGUUCAAUUCCUCAGCACCA
rnacentral:tRNA from 1 species